rnacentral:rRNA from 1 species
UGAGAGAUACAGGCAAAUCCGUAUUUCAAUCCAAUGGUGUUACGCGGAGCGAACAAAAGUAGCGAAGCACACAGACCAUCUGUCGAGAAAAGCCGCUAUUGUGUAUACCGUACCCGUACCGUAAACCGACACAGGUGGAUGAGGAGAGAAUCCUAAGGCCGGCGGGAGAAGCAUUGUUAAGGAACUCGGCAAAAUGACCCCGUAACUUCGGGAGAAGGGGUGCUCACGCAAGUGAGCCGCAGAGAACUGGCCCAAGCAACUGUUUAGCAAAAACACAGGUCUAUGCAAAACCGAAAGGUGAGGUAUAUGGGCUGACGCCUGCCCGGUGCUGGAAGGUUAAGAGGAGAUGUUAGAGCAAUCGAAGCAUUGAAUUUAAGCCCCAGUAAACGGCGGCCGUAACUAUAACUGUCCUAAGGUAGCGAAAUUCCUUGUCGGGUAAGUUCCGACCCGCACGAAAGGCGUAAUGAUUUGGGCACUGUCUCGACAAUGCACCCGGUGAAAUUGAAAUACCAGUGAAGAUGCUGGUUACCUGCGCCAGGACGGAAAGACCCCAUGGAGCUUUACUCUAGCUUGAUACUGGGAUUCGGUAUUGCAUGUACAGGAUAGGUGGGAGACGAAGAGGUGAUGACGCCAGUUGUCACGGAGUCGAUGUUGGGAUACCACCCCUGCAGUACUGGGUUUCUAACCUGCGGCCGUGACCCGGCCGGGGGACAAUGUCUGGUGGGGAGUUUGACUGGGGCGGUCGCCUCCGAAAGGGUAUCGGAGGCGCUCAAAGGUUCCCUCAGAAUGGUUGGAAACCAUUCGAAGAGUGCAAAGGCAGAAGGGAGCUUGACUGCGACACCGACGGGUGGAGCAGGUACGAAAGUAGGACUUAGUGAUCCGGUGGUAUGAAAGUGGGAUUGCCAUCGCUCAACGGAUAAAAGCUACCCCUGGGAUAACAGGCUUAUCACUCCCAAGAGUUCACAUCGACGGAGUGGUUUGGCACCUCGAUGUCGGCUCAUCGCAUCCUGGGGCUGUAGUAGGUCCCAAGGGUUGGGCUGUUCGCCCAUUAAAGCGGUACGCGAGCUGGGUUCAGAACGUCGUGAGACAGUUCGGUCCCUAUCCGGCGUGGGCGCAGGAUAUCUGAGAGGAGCUGUCCUUAGUACGAGAGGACCGGGAUGGACUGACCUCUGGUGCAUCGGUUGAGCCACCAGGCUCAUGGCCGAGUAGCCAAGUCGGGACGGGAUAAACGCUGAAGGCAUCUAAGCGUGAAGCCCCCCUCAAGAUGAGAUAUCCCAUAGAGUUAAUCUAGUAAGACCCCUUGAAGACGACGAGUUAGAUAGGCAGAAGGUGGAAGUGUGGUGACAUAUGGAGCUGAUCUGUACUAAUAGGUCGAGGGCUUAAC